CUGCCACAUACAAUUAUUUCUUUUUCAGUAUUAAUUGAACUAUAGAGCAGACAGAACUAAACUCUCAUCAUUAUUUCACAAUACAUUGAAAUCAAUAGAUAAAAUUAUUUUAUUUAACAAAGAAAUAGGGAAAAUUCAUUUCCAGAAUCUAUCAUUGAAUAUAUAUAUUAAUCCAGCUCAAGAUACAAAUGAAUGGUACAAUUCCAGCCUGGACAGAGUAGUAACCUAGACGACUCAAAUCAACCUCACAAAACUCAAGCACAGUAAACAGAAGCCGGCAAGAGAUCGAUUCUAAUGCUCUCAACAAAAAAAACAUCGACUUAUCCUCCUGAUCCACAAGAGAAUCAUCAAUCAGGCUAACAGCAUUGGAUAUCAAAUAAUGUGCGGAGGGAAAGAAUGAGACUACUUCUAUUCAACUUCUAAGCCACAAAACUACAGGACUAUAGUCAAAGUACUAGAGCAACCUUCUCGUUGGAAACAAGAGAAGAAGGAUGCGCAAUCAAUGGCUCAUAGUGAUCAGCUCCAGCACCACACCACCCUGCACAUAACGAGUAGAAAUGUAACAUGAUAAUCAAUAUAGAAAGCAGCUGAAAUUCAAACACACACAUUCAUAGAAUAUGCAUAAUUUAAUGCUGAAUUGCAGUAUGACAAAGUUCCAUUACCAGUUCCUUUCAUAAAUAGAAAGAAAGGAAGUUCACAAAUUUCACUCCUUGGACGGUGUGGGAGGAAGAAAACACAAUUCUCUUCAUCAACCAUGGCAUCAGAUCCAUGUGCUUGCACCUGUUAAUGCAUAAGCAACACAAGACCAAAAUUAGAACAGAAAAAAGUUUGAAAAGGGCAGUAGCUGUUACUGCAUAAAAACUUAUUAAAUUUAAAUUCUAUCAUACUGACAUAAUUAGAACUUAAACACAGGGAAAUUCCUACAUGCCAAUUUCAAUAAGUAAAUGCAUUCAUGUGGCCACAGUAUUAAGCAUUAGAGAUCAAUCAGAAAAUAAAUUGCAAAGAACCAGAAUCAUGGAAAACAAAACCACAUAGAAGAUGGCACUAGAACAGAGAAUUACAACUCCAACUGGUAAUGAUACAGAUUAAAAAUAGCGGCUCACCAACUUCUCAAAUGGAUAGCUAUAGCUAACCGAUAUUCUAAUACAUAAGCAUCCCAAUUCAUCUUCUCAUGUAUCAAUGAAAUGAAAAGUAGUUAUCCAUUAUUUAACCACAAGUAGACAUAAAAACUUUAAUUCACAGUGCAUAACAGUGCUCAUGUGGAAGUGGAACAUAUGAAAGGUAGACUAACUGACUAACACAUUACCGAUGAUUAGAACACAGUACUAGAUACCCAUUUUCCUUAACACAAAUCGUGAUAAUAUGGAAUCUGCCAUUCCCUCCUAAUAUGAAAGAAUGAAUCAAAUAUGCACAUCCUUACCACAUAAAUCUCUCGCUUGAACUCAUUUGCAAGGCAUUCAAUUGCUAUAUCAUCUCCAAAAGCCGCAGCAUGACCUUCUCUAUUCUCAUCUACAGAUAAUAAACCCUCCUCAGUAUAUUGCAAAGUGAUGAUAUCAUAGUCAUCAUCGGUUGAACCAGAGAUUGACAUGUAUUUGGCCCAACUGGGGCCAUCAUUCACUGGAAGACAUCUCUCUUUGUAUAUAGAUUCGGCCGCCAUUUCUCUUUGCAUCCCCAGCUUCAGGAGCUCAUCGAUGGCGGAAUCCAAAUUGACGCGAUCCUCCUUCUUGGCCAAGAGCUUGACUUCUUGGACCACAUGAAUCCCCCAUCCGCUCUUCAGAUCCGGCGAGUACAUGUGCUUAAUAGCAUCAUUUAUCACUUCUUUCUCUUCAUCACUCGCAGAUCCGAAGUCCUCCGAGAACCGCCGCACCGUCCGCCUCCUCAGCUCCCGCGCGUCCAUCUCACGCGCCAUCAUUGCCCUCUGCGACGCGGUGAAUAGGCAGUUCCCGUCUGGCAACACCUCUCCCCCAUGAGAAAGCCUGAAAACCACCGAUCUCAGCAGCGAAGAAGGCAGCGUAGAGUCUUUAUUACCAUCCCCGGGAUGCUUCCAAAGCACGCCUUUGGUUUGAAGUUUCUGUAAAUGGCGCCUCUGCUGUUCCUCCAGGCCAAUCACGUCCUCCCACGUGGUGGUGGUCGUCGUCAUUACACUCUGGUCUACGAGAUCAACCCCUUCGUGGGAAACCCCAUUAGGGUCUCUCCAAUGGAGGACCGGCGACGAGGGUUGAAAUGUUGUUUCGGCGACGGCCGUUGAAUCGCAUAGAAGUUUCCCCAUUUGACCUGUCCUCUUUUAUAUCAAGAAUCAAGAAAACAAAACUUAAAAAUUAAAAAAUAAAAAUCCGUUCUUUUCUUGAAUCUUUCUCUCCUUCAAUGGUAGAGAGAGUUGCAGAGACCCCCAGAGAGAGAGAGAUUAGGGUUAACGGAUAGAUUUGCGACGCGGGAGAGAAUUUUUUAUGGCACGUGGCAGUAUCUGGUGCAUUUAUGGUCUC
rnacentral:misc_RNA from 1 species